rnacentral:rRNA from 1 species
CUAUCUGUCGUGGGCGUAGGAGGUUUGAGCGGAUUGGUCCCUAGUACGAGAGGACCGGGAUUAACCGGGCAACGGUACGCCGGUUGUCGCGCCAGCGGCACGGCCGGGUAGCUGCCCCGGGAGAGGAUAAGCGCUGAAAGCAUAUAAGCGUGAAGCCAGCCGCGAGAUGAGACCUCCCAUCGGAAACGAGUAAGGGCCCCCCGAAGUCAGGGGGUCGAUAGGCCGGAAGUGCAAGCGCCGCGAGGCGCUCAGCUGACCGGUACUAAUAGCCCGAGGGCUUGAUUCC